GCUCCGGUGGCCUAGUGGUUAGAGCGUCCGCCUCGGAUGUUGGAGGUCGUGGUUUCGAUCCACGGCUGAAUCA